CUCGGUGACGAUAGCGGAGAGGACACACCCGUUCCCAUCCCGAACACGGAAGUUAAGCUCUCCAGCGCCGAUGGUAGUUGGGGCUGGGGCCCCUGCGAGAGUAGGACGUUGCCGGGC
rnacentral:rRNA from 1 species